CUUCCAUGUUUUAAAGAAAUACAUGGGUUUAAAAAUCCUCUUUAAUGAAUCCCACCAGAUAAACGUGUCAAAGGGGUGGUCUGUGACCAUGAGGGCUGUGUCAGCGGGUUCCACGGAAGGCCAAGCACCGCGGGGUGCUCGUGCCCUGGCCCUGAGGGAUUUCUGAACAGGCAUCUGGGUUCUCGCUCUGUGACUAUUACGGUGCCAUCCGACAUUUCGGAAGCGGUGCUCUUUGUGAAGGCGGUGACGUGUCUGGGAAGAGCAUCAAAGGGAGAGUCUGUUGGAAGUCAGGAACGGGUGGCCCGCCCCGAGGGUCCGGUUCUGGGUUCUCACCGGCUGCGUCUCUCCCUCCUCGUCCACCCCCCGCAUGGACAGGACACCAGGAGACCCAGCCCCACGCUCAGGCCCCGUCGUCUGCAAGUGACCAGGCUUCCUUCUAGAAGGGUCCUUGGAGGAGCCGUCUUCCGGAAGCCUGCCUGCCAGUUGUUGGAGGGUUUAAGGGUUCUUUGCUUUCUCUCCUCCAGGUUUCUCUCCACCCACAAAGUCAACGCGCACCGUCAAGGGGCCCGAAUCUCAUUCCUUUGUCCGAACUUGCCAGCUCGGUGGCUGCGACGCCCGUCCCUCUCGGGAACACGCAGGGAAAGAGAGGAUGUCAGUUCCAGGUCUGUCUGGGGGUGUCGGGGAUCCAGCACAGACUUUAACUCUCUGAAGCUGCCCAGUGAGAUCGUGAACCUGGUACCCCUCCAGUCCUGCACCUGGCGCUCGGCUGUGUCACCGCUGGUGUGACGUCCUUGCAUCCACGCCCCACUCUGGCAGAAGACGGAGAGCCACACGUCGGCACUUGGGUUUCUUCAGGCCCACUUCUGCCUCUUGGAGUGAAGACAGGUCGCCUGUUGGCCAAGCUUUGAAUUAUGAAGCCUUGCAUGACGUCACACACACCCUGAGAACUGCCCGUCAGGGACAGAAAGGUACUUGGAGGAAGAAUCUUCAAACCAAGAGUCAGAAAGGAGACAUGGGCCUGUGGGAACCUUCUGCAGAUGGGUGGCAUCAGCGUGCCUGGAAGUGGUCCUCCAAACCCAGGUUUGCAGAUGGGUGCCCUCUGCCUCCACAGGAAACAUCCUAAGACCUUCCUUCUGAAACUCGGCUCCAGAGGUCUGGUCCCUUCAUUUCUCUAAAGCACCCAGAGCAGUCAGGUGACCAUAUUUUUGCAACAGCAAUUGUUCUAAAUCCAGAACACAGAGCCGUCCCAAAAGGAGGAGGAGGAGGCAGGCGGUGUCCUUGGAUGCUCCCGGGAGGAGCGGGCCAGGAGGAGCGGCCGGGAGGCUUUGCACUGGAACCCCACGUGCCCUGCUUUAGCAGGGGGCUGCCUCUGUGCUCGCCAGUGGGCACACCCCUGGCAGUGGCUUCUCCCCACCCCAGCCUGCCUUCACAGGCACAUCCAUUUCUCGGGCUCAGGGAAUGUCUUUUCUUUUCUUUUUUUUUUUUUUUUUAACCCUGCAAAAGUAAAUGUCCCGAUCCAAACCCGGGCCCUCGGUUUCCAUUUGCCAGGGAGCACAGGCUGGUGGUGGUUUCUCUUCUCCUUUCAAGUCAUCUUCACAGUGGAAACUUGAAAGGGGUGAUCUAUAAACAUUUCAGAUCCAUAAUAUACUACUUCCUCUAGGUUCUUCGGAGCGGAAGCUUUGCUCUUGAGAAGAGGUGGUGUGCAGAAAAGCCCUUUUCUCUGUCAGGAGGGCUCCCCGUGCACUUGGCCGCAGCUGAAACCUGUUUUAAUCAGACCUUCCUCUUUUAUAAGCAGGGCCGGCUUGCAGUUCCACACGGCAGCCGAGGCCUGGAGCUGCAGGAAGAGGGCUCCAGCGAUCCUUUUGUUACCCUAAUCAGAGCCAGAAGGGCUGUAUUGACUUUUGGGCCUUGGGGACUUGUCCUUCUUUUGUGUCCAUCUCAUUCGAGAAAUCAAGUUUGAUUAAUUUGUCAUCAAGCAAAACUGCAGGAUGGGGAGCCAGCCCUUUGAAGUGAAAGAAGGAUGAACUUGGACUGCGAAGCCCAGGUCAGCGGGCAGACUGGCCGUGGCGCCCCGUCCACCCAGGCUCUUCUCCGCAGAGCUGCCUCUUCUGGUUUAAAACCCUUUAUUUUUUCUUCUUUAAACCUUUCCUCCAUGAAGGGCUCGGAGAUGACCCCCCAUCUCCGCCUUUUGUUUUCUUUAAUUGUUAAAAGCCAGUCACCAGGGUCCGCAGAGCCAGUCGGAUCCGAAAACACUUAGCGGCUCCACCAAGCCUGGGGCUGGAGGACUUGACCUCCCGCCAAUCUUGAAAGACCACUGCUCACGGGCGAGGCCGCAGGACUGAACCCAGUGUCAGCGUGCACUUCUGGAAUGAAUAACCGGAGGGGGCUCCAGCUGGGUCACGGGACAGACGCUCAUUUACGAUGCCCUGGUCUUGUUAACCUGCACUUAGCAGAGUCCCCAAACUGCUGAGAUCGCAUGAGGCGGUGGCCCCGAGAUAUUAUUUAAUCCUAGACUUAGUGUCAUAUUUCUUGUUCAGAUGGUCUAUGUGCUUUAUAAGGAGUCACAGGGCUUUAAAAAAAUUAUAGAGUAAGCAAUCUUGAUCCCCCCACCCCCACCCCGGGUAACAAAGUCCCCACGGCUGACAGUUCAGUGCACAGGGCUUUUUAGGAUGCUGGCCCCUCAGGUAGGUACAAAAAGCAGAAGUCCAGGGCUCGCUCAGCUUUGAAAAAGGUUUAAAAGUCUCCAACCAAUUAUAAACAGCCGUUGUGGUGACUGAA